CUACUACCAUUUCAUCGUGAUCCUCAUCGAAGACAGCGCCAUUGAGAACGUCUAAAAAUAAAAUUGAAUUGAAAAUGAAAGAAAAGAAAUACAACAUAAUAGUCAUGGUUAUGAAGAAAGCGGAAUUUUGC